GCCAUGGCCUGUAGGUAGACAUCACAGGGUGAUUUUUGUGUCAUCAACACCCUUUUUCCACCUGUAUAUGGAUUUUGUCGAACCCAGGUAUUAAGGUUUGUGUGGCAAGCUUUUGCUGAUUGAGAUGUAGCGCCAGCCGAAAGAUUUUUUUUUCAUUCAGUUAAAAAUAUCCAUGUUGCAAUCUUGCUCAUGCUUGCGAUCCUAGCAUUAGGAAGGCUGAUAGAGGAGGAUUGCUGUGAAUUCAAAUUCAGCCUGGUUAGGUAGUGAGGUCUAAGCUAGCUCUUGGAUGCAAAAUGAAGCUUUGCUUCAACAAUAAAAACAAGUAAAGAAACAAACCAACAAAACCCUUCUGAAAUAUUUGUUAAGCUCCCAUGAAAUGAUUCCUCUACCUUUGGGAAAGCAGGCAAUGUGUCUUAGAGAGAAAUGUUUUCCUUGUGGCCAGCUUUCAGCCUGCUUCAGGCCUUGUGUGGUCUCUCUAGUUUGCAUCACAGCCUCCCAUACACAGGCUUCUUUCUGUCUCCUUCCUUUUUACAUGAUUUUUUUUAAAUAAAGAAAGCAGUGCUCAGAUGAGCCCAGUAACUUAGUUACUCUCUCGGAAGCAUCAGAACAGGAAGUCCAGGUCCAGUGUUGUUUACUUAUGCAUAUGUAGAAAAUAGAAAAGUUAUGCUGCUGGGAACCAUGCUGAGUGCACUUGCAAUGAUGUCAAAGAAACGCCCUCAGUGGGGAAGGAUAAGCUAUCCACCUACCUGCUCAUUCCACAACCUCUAGAGCUGCCUCUCACUCCACAGCGUGCAGGAAAAUCACCUGAUCAUGCUACUAAACUUCAGGUUCAGCUCCUGCGUGUUCCUGUGUGUGUGUGUGUGUGUGUGUGUGUGUGUGUGUGUGUGUGUGUGCUCUACACAAGUGUGUUGGAAUUGAACUGAAGGCCUUGGACAUGCCAGUACUCUGCCACUGAAUUAUAUCCCUAGCUCUCAACAUGUUAUUGAAGUUUCUCUGUCACGUAUUUUCCACCAGCAGGAACAAGGGCUGACUUCUAGUUACUAUUGACAUGACAAGGAGACAAACAGUUGGUAUCUACAACGCAUUUCCUAAAUGAAACUUCACACCCUGACGAUGGAGAGAUUGCUCCUUUUUCUCUUUUGCCAAGUGGACACAUUUUCCCUUGUUACCCAUAGGGCUCCAAGAAAACAGCACAUCCUAAUUGGGAAACAUAGCCCGUGUAAUUUUUGUUUCGAUCUCCUCAGAGUUGAAACGUCUUUAAGGAAAAGCUUAGAUCUUGAGCAUUUUACUUUUGUUGAGUACGAGGUGUCAACGUGCUUAAGAGGACACAAUCUGCAGGUUCUCAGACCCCAGCGCUCUGCACUCCCUUCCUGAGGAGCUGUCACACCUGACUUGCCAUCUGUGGAGAAUCUUCCACAUUAUGAAGAAGCUUGACCCUGCUGUGGCUGCACAGGGACAGAGGACAGACUCUGGUUGUCUGCUGUUGCAUGGGUGCUGAGCACCUGUGUGGGCACAGCACAUAGGAAGUGAUUGAUACUGGAUCUCUGCUAUUGAGUGCCCUCUGGAGAUGAUGAUGCUUCUUACUGCCCAAGUUACUGAAAGGGCGGGAAUUAUCUUUAUCUGAAGCAUUACACUCUUCCUGUUCAAAGGACACAUUAGUUAAAGAAAUGAAAGCUUCUGUUUUAGAAAAUGACUUCUGUAGCUGUCUGAUAUGGGUACUAUUCUCAGGUGUUUUCUCCCUGUCAUUAUAAAGAGGAAUAGCAUGAUUUUUGGAAGUUUAUGAAAAUGGCAAACACUUCAUGUUUCCCAAUUAUGUAUUUGUAUUUUUCUAAAAGUGUGAUACCCUUUUUGUAAUGUUAAGCUCCCUUUUCACUUAUCAUAUGAGUGUCAUUGGUGUUGGCUUGCUAUUUUAAAACAUUCUAAGGGUGAACUUUCCCUGAUUUAACAUGAAAAGUGACCUAGAAGAACUAAAAGGUGAACAACAAAUCUUGUUUGUGAUUUAGGAAUGGGCUGGAGACAGAUGAAGCAUGGAAGGUGGCAUGAAUGGAAAUCUCCUUGUGUUAUCUGGAUAUCAGCAUCAGUAGUGAGAUUUUCUACCAUAUGCUCCUUAAAAAGUUGUACUCUUGGCAAAUGAGACUUUGCCUCCAAAAAAUAGUUAUGAUGUCAUAUUAAAAUUCUUUUAAAAUUGAUACUCUUAGCCUUAUGCUAUGAAUGGCAUUCAAUUUUUUUAGGCUCUUCCUAAAUGGUGGUGAAAAGUCCUCUGGUUUUUUGAGCUCUCUUAAACAUAAAUUAUCAUCAUGGAAAAACUUAAUCAAGGCAAAACUAUUAUUUUUAGAAUACAUUGUUUCAGUUAUCAUAGGCUUGAGUCCCUGUGAACCUCAUGGAAUGCUUUUGUGGAGUAUAUGGUAGAUUCUGGAUUACUUCCAUUCCAUCUUCUAGCUUAACUCAAGGAAUAAUCACAAGGUGGACACUGGGACAGUAGAGUUGACUGCCCCAGAUUAUCAAACUAUAGUGCGGAAUGAAACCUUCUAUCUUUCUUUUGUGACCAUUUUCAUUCUCUUGUAAACCAGUGUGCAUCUGAGAAUGAUGAAGUCUCCGUUAAUUAUAUCGGAACACCGGAGACUUAAAAGUGAGUCUCUCUGGUCCAGAAGAGUCAUCAUAAGCAGGGAGAGAUGAUGAUGUAUGCACACUCUCAUUCCAAACUGUUAUUCGUUGCCACUUCUGAUUAAUGGAGUCUGUACUUAAAUUAUGCCCAUAAAUAAUUUCUCAAUCUUUCCUGGCCACUAUUAAGAUUGACUAUUCGUUCAAGAUGUUGACAAACAGUUUUAUAUGUUUGUUCUCUUCGUUUCUGUCAUCCUCUCCUACAAGGGAAGCUGGGAAGGCAUGCAGGGUGGGAGCGGAGGUAUCAUGGGAACAUGUAGCUUUGGCCUCUAAACCAGCAAGAAUUUAUUUAAUUUUUAAGUAAAUAAACGCCAGUUUCUAAAGAA